UGUCAGCAGGGUCAGAGGAGAGCAGCAAUCUGACUCAACAGACAUUUAUUGCUCUCCUGUUGUGUGCCAAGAAAUGCACGGAGAUCUGGACGUGUGUAUGUAACACGGGAGAAGAAAAGGCUCAUGCUCCAGGAGCCCUCGCCUGCUGGGAGAGAUGGAAUUUCAGCCUCAGGUGGUGGACUGUUGACCAGCUACCAGGAGGAAAUGAGCUUGACAAAAAUGGUCAUUGAGGGCAACGCAGCCCCAGCAUCGAAGGUGGAAGAGAGGGUGUCACCGUUGAAGUUACAGGAGACAAGCUGAUCCUCAGUGUUGCCCGGGAUGCCCUGGAGGGGACACUUCGAUGCCUGCCUCACCACCUUCUUGAUGUCAUCGUAUUUGGCAGCUUUCUCCAGGUGGCAGAAUCUCCAUGAGUCACACGAAGACACGAGUGGUGUGCCUGCAUACCUGUUUGAUAGCCCUUCCUCUUCGAAGUGCAGGCUAAGCCUGAGUUAGAAAUCAAAGGCUUAACUGAGUUUUAUUGUUUUCAG